GACGAACGCUGGCGGCGUGCCUAAUACAUGCAAGUCGAACGCUGAAGGGGGAGCUUUCUUCUCUGGAUGAUUUGCGAACGGGUGAGUAACGCGUAGGGAACCUGCCUGGUAGCGGGGGAUAACUAUUGGAAACGAUAGCUAAUACCGCAUAAGAGUAGAUGUUGCAUGACAUUUACUUAAAAAAUGCAGUUUCAUCACUACCUGAUGGUCCUGCGUUGUAUUAGCUAGUUGUUGGAGUAACGGCUCAACAAAGCGACGAUACAUAGUCGGCCUGGGAGGGGGAUCGGGCAACCCGGGACUGAGACACGGCCCAGGACCCUAAGGGAGGCAGCAGUAGGGAAACUUUGCGCAUGGACCGAAGUCUGACCGGGCAACGGCGCGUGAGUGAAGAAGGUUCUCGGAUCGUAAAGCUCUGGUGUAAGAGGAGAAAGAGAGUGAGAGUGAAAAGUGCACACUGUGACGGUAUCUAAUCAGAAAGGGACGGCUAACUACGUG
rnacentral:rRNA from 1 species